rnacentral:rRNA from 1 species
AAACCGUUCGGGGGUAAACGGACAGAGCCCGUGAAUCCGGGCGACGGAAUUCAGAAUCGACGGCGUUCGCGCGUCGUUGGUUCGAUAUUUCCGUCGCCAUCACACAUACGGACGUCGCGACCCGUUCGGUGUCGGUCUGCAGGAGACGUGCGAAAGUUCGUGGGCGUCGAUCGGGUUUCGGCUCGGCUGGCGUUUCGCGAGUGCGCGUUUUUUUUCUGGCCGACUCGCCGGACGGUAAGCGAAGCGGUGAUCGCGACGGCCUCUCGUCAGCGCCGUCGCGUUACCGGUCUGCGACGAAUCUUCGGGCCUCUUUCCGA